GAUGAACGCUAGCGGCAGGCUUAAUACAUGCAAGUCGAACGGGAUUCGAGGUAGCAAUACUUUGAUGAGAGUGGCGCACGGGUGCGUAACGCGUAUGCAACCUACCUUUAACAGGUGAAUAGCCCCGAGAAAUCGGGAUUAAUACACCGUAACAUUGCGAUAUGGCAUCAUACUGCAAUUAAAGAUUUAUCGGUUAAAGAUGGGCAUGCGUGACAUUAGCUAGUUGGUGAGGUAACGGCUCACCAAGGCCACGAUGUCUAGGGGUCCUGAGAGGGUUAUCCCCCACACUGGUACUGAGACACGGACCAGACUCCUACGGGAGGCAGCAGUAAGGAAUAUUGGUCAAUGGGCGCAAGCCUGAACCAGCCAUGCCGCGUGCAGGAAGACGGCCCUAUGGGUUGUAAACUGCUUUUGUCAGGGAAUAAACCUUUGUACGUGAUACAGAGCUGAAGGUACCUGAAGAAUAAGCAUCGGCU
rnacentral:rRNA from 1 species